rnacentral:rRNA from 1 species
UACAGAGGGGGCAAGCGUUGUUCGGAAUUACUGGGCGUAAAGGGCGCGUAGGCGGCCUGCUAAGUCGAACGUGAAAUCCCUGGGCUUAACCCAGGAACUGCGUCCGAUACUGGUUGGCUUGAAUCCGGGAGAGGGAUGUGGAAUUCCAGGUGUAGCGGUGAAAUGCGUAGAUAUCUGGAGGAACACCGGUGGCGAAGGCGACAUCCUGGACCGGUAUUGACGCUGAGGCGCGAAAGCCAGGGGAGCAGACGGG